GUGAGUGAGACUCAUCUCUACACAAAAAGAAAAUAGGAAAAUAGUACAAAUUUGCCUAUGUACUACACAGAUUAGAAACUCUGUGGCUACUUUUGUGUUGCUGGAAUUGUGCCAAUUGAAACUGCUAGAGUGCCCUUUUCUUGAUGAUAACGGAAAUAUCACUUGAUAUCUUUUUCUUAUUGAAGAUAAUCCUCUCUUCCUUUUUAGAUCUCUUAUUCCCUAGUUUAUAAACAAGAUUUCCUAUGGCUUCAACGUACAUGAACAUGAAAUUUUAGGAUCCUCUGUGGUUUCUUCGAGGUUAACUUUAGGACAUGAAGUGAAGUGGUAUAGUGGUUUGGUUGUUAUGUGUUAACUCCGAUAAAUUCAUUGGGACAACCAAGAUUCCAUCUUUGUUUUAGUUUUUGGAGGUAGUUAACUGAUAAAUAUACUCAAGUUUCCAUCUUUAUUUAUAUAGCCUCCAACAAACAUUUUCAAUGGCUUUCUUUAGCAGGUUCAAAAUUAUUCUUCUGCUUGGAUACUGUUUAUUAAAUGAUUUGAUUUUGAAUGGCAGGUUAAAAAUUAUUCUUCUGGUACUAAUUUAGUAUCUUUGUGCUACCAGCACAUCUGAAUCUAGAUUCGGUGACCGCUUAUCUCUUUCCCUUUAAUUUAGGCCAAGCAAAGAUGUCAGGUAGAGGUGACAAAGGUAAGAGAAAAGUUGAUCCUACCAAAACAAAAAAGAAAAAAGAACCUCCACCUUAUAGACGAUCGACAUGUAUUCAUAUAUCUGAGGCUCGGUUUGCUGACGCGCCAGCACGACCCUCAUAUUCUAGGUCGUCUCAACAUUCGUUCCUUCUCCUAUGCAUGUGGGGCCACUUCAUGGGUCUAUACAGAGUCAUUAUACUCCUAUCACCAUCCCACCACCAUCACAGUACUAUUGGACAACCGCUGGCACAUCCAGACAUCUACCAUCGUCAAUACCCUCCUGUAGUAGUCCCCCACAUUCACACAGUGAUUCUGCUGGAUCUAUUGGGUUGUCGGAUCUUUAUCUUAGAGGCACUCUAUCCGGUACUUCAGAUUCGCCUAUGCCAGUGCAUCCACCAGCACUUCCUCCAUGACCCAUAGACAGAGAUGAUUAUGGGAGGCAUUAUCUUAUUCUAUAUGGAAUAUGGUUUAGGAUGGAUACUGAAGUUGGAAAAAUUGUGAGUAAAUGCAUUUGUCAUCACUUCAACGGCUACUGGACCAGUUGGCAAAAGAAAUAUUACUGGUGGGAUGAAGCGAAUGAAUGUGCUAUAAGGAUGAAUUUUUAUCGAAGAGCUAGAUAUAGAUUUAACGUUCUGUUAGAUUAUGCCAGAACCAACAUGGUACGACCUGGGUUUAUACUCGAACCCAUAUGGCAAUAGUAUAUUCACUAUUGAAAUAGCGAAGAAUACCAAUCAUUGAAAGACAAAGGAAAGAAAGAUCCGGCAUCAUCCAAGGGUGGCUCUUUACAUACUGCAAGUGCAGUUAGUAUGAUUGCUGUGGAGGAAAAAUGGAAAAAGAAAAGGGUAGGAAGAUACCCUUCGAUGAGCUAUUCGAGAUGACGCAUGCGAAGAAGAAAAAGAAACUAACUGAUGAAGAUGUUUGGGUUGAGCCUCGUACAAAAGCUGUCUAUGUAAGAAUCAAAUUUUGAAUUUAUGAAUAUAUUUUUCAAAGUUGAUAUUAUUCAAGUACAAGUACUUUAAUAUUUUCUUACUAUUAAUUGUAACUUUACUUUGAAUAUAAGACAAAUAUAAGCAGAUCGUUAGUGAGUA